rfam:Schistosoma margrebowiei strain Zambia genome assembly, scaffold: SMRZ_contig0000574
GCACUGCUGAGGAGUCCCAUACCAGGACGGAACGGCCGUCCAGUGC